UUCUGAUGCUAUUGGUGGAUGGAUUUUUUUUGAAAUGUCAUUUUCUGAUAGUUUGUUACUAGUAUAUAGAACACUUGAUUUUGUUCUUGAGUUUUGGACAUUGGCCUUAUAUCUUGCUAAAUUUAUUAGUUUCAGGGGCUUUUUUUUGUGGGUUCUUUGGUGUUUUCUGCCUACAGCAUCAUAUCAUCUACAAAUAAUGACAAUUGUACUUCUUUCCCCCAACUGAAAUGCUUUCUAUUUUUUCCUUGUCUUAAUAAACUGAUUAGAAUGUCCAGUACAAUGUUAAAUAAAAAUGGUGAGACUGGAUGUCUUUUCUCCAUUCCUAAUCUUUGUUAGAAAACUUCAGCCUUUCCUUAUUUUAAAUGUUAUUAGCUGUAGGUUUUUCAUGGAUGCCCUUUGUCAGGUUGAGAAAGUUUCCUUCCUAGUUAGUUAAGAGUUUUAAUCAUGUGUCAAACAACAAAAUUCAAUUGAGUAAUUUAAAAUAUCAAAUUGGCUUUAUCAAACUAUUCAUGAUAAAGCAACAUCCUAUCCAGCAAAUGGAAAGGCGCUCCAUGGAGCUCAAGAAAAGGAAAGGUUUAUAAAGGCAGAGAGGAGGCUGGAAAAAAUGCGUUAUUUUAGGUAACGUAACCCUCCUAAGGGGGAACAGAAGUGGUCUAUCCGUAAAUUUCCUAGUGCUGACUAGUGAAUUUUAUGUUGACUGGUUAAAGAUUACAUUCCUAGGUGGGUUGAAACUGCAGUUAGGCUAGGCAUUAUGUCUUGGGGUGCUGAUGUGGGACCUUAAUAUAAGUGACUCUUUUGGGGGAACUGUGGUUUUCUUUUUAACACAGGAAAGGCUAUUAGGCUUUGUUAAAUGCUUUUUCUGUAUCCACUGAAAAAAAUCACAGUUUUCUCCUUUAUUAAUAUUUUGAAUUAUAUUGAUUGAUUUUCAGAUGUUAAACCAACCGUACAUGCUGAAGAUAAACUCCACUUCGUCAUGACAUAUGAUACCUUUAGUGUAAUACUGAAUUCAAUUUGUUAAUGUUUUGUUAAGUCUUUUUGCAUCUAUGUUUAUGAACGUUAGUGAUCUGUAGUUCUUUUGCCUUGUGAUGUCUUUAGUUCUGAAAUCAGAGUAUUACUGGCCUCAUAAAAUGAGUUCAGAAGUAAAGACACUUUCUGAAUGAUUUUGUGUAGUAUUGAUAUGUUGGGGUUUGUUUUUUUUUCCUUUUUCCUUUAAUUGUUGGUAGAAUUAACCAAUGAAGCCAUAUGAGCCUGGAGUUUCCUUUGUUGGAAAGUUUUUAAUUACUAAUACAACUUUUAAAAUUUAUGUAGGGCUGCUCAAGCUUACCAUUUCUUGUUGGGUUAGAUAUGGGAUUUUGUGUCUUUUUUUUUCUUUUAAUUUUUUUAAUUUUAGAAAGACAGCAUGAGCAGGGGAGGGGCAGAGAGAGGGGGAGAGAAAGAAUCUUAAGAAGGAUGCACUCUCAGUGCAGAGCCCAACAUGGGGCUCAAUCCCAUGACCCUGGGAUCAUGACCUGAGCUGAAGUCAAGAGUUGGAUGCUUAACCAACUGAACCACCAAGGUGCCCAUGCAUGGAUCUUGUGUCUUUUAAGGAAUUUGUCCAUCUUACGUGGGUUGUCAAAGGUGUUUAUAAUAAUCUCUUAUUCUUUAAUGCUCUGAAGGCACUAUAGUGAUGUCCCUUCUUUUAUUACUGAUAUCAGUACAAUGUAUGGUUUCCAUUUUUUUUUGUAGCUAGAGGUUUAUAAAUUUUAUUAAUUUUUUUUAAAAAGCGUCAAUUUCUGCUUUCAUUAGUUUUUCUUUUCUGCUUUUCUCUCUCUUUUCAAAAGAGAGAGAAAUGUUUAUUUAUUUUGAGACCGAUUGCAUGUGCACUCACGUACCCACACACAAGCAGGGGAGAGGCAGAGAGGGGGAGAGAGAAUGCCAAACAGGCUCCUCACUGUCAAUGCAGGGUCCAAUGUGGGGCUCCAUCCCAUGAACUGUGAGAUCAUGACCUGAGCUGAAAUCAAGAGUUGGACACUCAACCAGCUGAGCUACACAGGUAUUCUAAGGCUUUAAGUUUUCCUCUAAGUGUUCUGUGUUGGAUGUAUCCCCAUAAAUUCUGUCUAGCUGGGAAGGACCUUGAAAGGCAGAGGAAAAUUUUUCAUCCCGGACACCUGGCCUAGUUGGUAGUACACUUUAACACACUGGAUGCUGCUUGUCACAAACAUAGCUGUGGCUGGGAGAUCCUUGGGACAUCUGACCUAGAGCCGACAGAAGCCUCCAGAACCACCCAUCCCCCACAGUGCAGCUCUGUUCCCAACCUCAUCAGUCAUCACACCCAUGACAGUUGCUCAGUUACAAUCAAGAUCACCUCUCUGAAAGUUCCACACACUUGAUCACUGCACUUACCGUUCCCUGGACCUACUUUAUGUCUGUUCAUCUAAGCUAUAGUUUCUUCAAAACCUACCUCAUCUGUGAAGAUUUCCUAGUGCCACUCCAAAGAGAGAUGAAUCCUGGGUGACACUAGAUGCCAUGUGUUGAAGAUAUCAAGGCUCCUGUCAACCUGGUGCCUGAAAAGGCUAUUGUGCCAACCCCUUCACUUCACUACUGUCAUGAACCCAGUGACCCACCAGAGGACUGGACAGUUUAAGGCCAGCUCCAGAAACAAAUGGAAGACAGUUCAAGUACUUAAUAUAAAAACCUUUUUAAAUUUCUUUUUCUUUCGUCCCUCCCUCCCUCCCUCUCUUUCUUUCUUUCUCUUUCUCUUUCUUUCUCUCUCUCUCUCUCUCUCUCUCUCUCUUUCUUUUAUUGUUGGUCCCCUAGCAACAACUCAGUUCCAUUUGGUUCAGCCACCUGAGAACCAAGUGAACUAUGUGCCAGGUACUGUUCUAGGG